GCCGAAGUGGUGGAACUUGGUAGACACGCCAUCUUGAGGGGGUGGUGGGGCGACCCGUGCCGGUUCGAGUCCGGCCUUCGGCACCA
rnacentral:tRNA from 5 species